rnacentral:hammerhead_ribozyme from 2 species
AUCCAGAUGACGAGUGCCAAAUAGGACUAAACACGCGGCCUGGAU